UUGUUGGUGGGGUAAUAGCCUACCAAGGCGACGACGGGUAGCCGGCCUGAGAGGGCGACCGGCCACACUGGGACUGAGACACGGCCCAGACUCCUACGGGAGGCAGCAGUGGGGAAUAUUGCGCAAUGGGCGAAAGCCUGACGCAGCGACGCCGCGUGGGGGAUGAAGGCCUUCGGGUUGUAAACCCCUUUCGGCAGGGACGAAGCGAAAGUGACGGUACCUGCAGAAGAAGCGCCGGCUAACUACGUGCCAGCAGCCGCGGUAACACGUAGGGCGCAAGCGUUGUCCGGAAUCAUUGGGCGUAAAGAGCUCGUAGGCGGUCUGUUGCGUCCGCUGUGAAAACUCGGGGCUUAACCCCGAGCUUGCAGUGGAUACGGGCAGACUAGAGGUAGGUAGGGGAGAAUGGAAUUCCCGGUGUAGCGGUGAAAUGCGCAGAUAUCGGGAGGAACACCGGUGGCGAAGGCGGUUCUCUGGGCCUUACCUGACGCUGAGGAGCGAAAGCGUGGGGAGCGAACAGGAUUAGAUACCCUGGUAGUCCACGCUGUAAACGUUGGGCGCUAGGUGUGGGAUCCUUCCACGGAUUCCGUGCCGCAGCUAACGCAUUAAGCGCCC
rnacentral:rRNA from 1 species